UGUCCUACGGGACGCAGCAGUAGGGAAUAUUGCUCAAUGGGGGAAACCCUGAAGCAGCAACGCCGCGUGGAGGAUGAAGGUUUUCGGAUUGUAAACUCCUUUUGUUAGAGAAGAUAAUGACGGUAUCUAACGAAUAAGCACCGGCUAACUCCGUGCCAGCAGCCGCGGUAAUACGGAGGGUGCAAGCGUUACUCGGAAUCACUGGGCGUAAAGAGCGCGUAGGCGGGAUCGCAAGUCAGAUGUGAAAUCCUAUGGCUUAACCAUAGAACUGCAUUUGAAACUGUUGGUCUUGAGUAUCGGAGAGG
rnacentral:rRNA from 1 species